GCGAAGCUAAUUGCAUUUACUUAAAAUUAAAUUUUAAGAGAGUGUCCCUUUUUAUUUAUAAAAAAUUGGAUGGCUUUUAAGAGAGUGGUCCCUUUUUAUUUUAAAAAUUUGAAAACCUUUUAAAGAGGAAGGGUCCAUUUUUUAUGUAGUUACUACUUUGUAGUUUAAAAUUCUAGAUAGAAUUAUGAUGAUGACAUUAUCUAUCUAUUAGUCUUGACCAAAUUACGUGCCAGCAGUCGCGGUAAUACGUAAAAGACAAGUGUUAUUCAUCUUUAUUGGGUUUAAAGAGUACCAAGACGGUUAAUAAAGCCCAAAAUACAUGAACACAGGGGACACAUUAACUAGAGUUAUAUGAAAGGAAGCACUAAAGUACUGUUGAGUGUAGAGAUAAAAUUCUAUCAUACCAGAUAAAGGCACAGAUUUAUGCGAAGGCAUCUUCUUAUGUAAUAACUGACGUUGUAGGACGAAGGCUUUUUAAGUGAAGAGGAUUAGAGACCCUUGUAAUCUAAGCAGAAAAUGAUGAAUGUCAUAGGUUUAAUAUAUUAUUGGGUCUAUAAAUGAAAGUGUAAGCAUUCCACCUCAAGAGUAAUUUGGCAACAUUGGAACUGAAAUCAUUAGACCGUUUCUGAAACCAGUAGUGAAGUAUGUUGUUUAAUUAGAUGAUACACAAAAAACCUUACCACAAUUUGAAUAUAUAUCUUUAAAGAUAUUUACAAGCGUUGCACGGCUGUCUUCAGUUAAUGUCGUGAGAUUUUGGUUAGUUCCAUAAAAUUAACGUAAACCCUCGUUUUAUUUAGAAAUAAAAUUUAGAUCUGUUUCAAU
rnacentral:rRNA from 1 species